GCUUAAGCGGGCCGACUUAAUGUG
rnacentral:siRNA from 1 species